UACGGAGGGAGCUAGCGUUGUUCGGAAUUACUGGGCGUAAAGCGCACGUAGGCGGUUAUUCAAGUCAGAGGUGAAAGCCCGGGGCUCAACUCCGGAAUUGCCUUUGAAACUAGAUAACUUGAAUCCAGGAGAGGUGAGUGGAAUUCCGAGUGUAGAGGUGAAAUUCGUAGAUAUUCGGAAGAACACCAGUGGCGAAGGCGGCUCACUGGACUGGUAUUGACGCUGAGGUGCGAAAGCGUGGGGAGCAAACAGG
rnacentral:rRNA from 1 species